UACGAAGGGGGCUAGCGUUGUUCGGAUUUACUGGGCGUAAAGCGCACGUAGGCGGAUUGGUCAGUUAGGGGUGAAAUCCUGGAGCUCAACUCCAGAACUGCCUUUGAUACUGGCGAUCUUGAGUCCGGAAGAGGUGAGUGGAACUCCUAGUGUAGAGGUGGAAUUCGUAGAUAUUAGGAAGAACACCAGUGGCGAAGGCGGCUCACUGGUCCGGUACUGACGCUGAGGUGCGAAAGCGUGGGGAGCAAACAGG
rnacentral:rRNA from 1 species